CUCUGCCAGAUAAUGAAACUCUUCUCUAUCAAUAUGGUACAUGUUUUAUUUCAUUUAUAUUGUUUGUGUGUACACAAAAAUACAGAUAUAAAAAUAUAUAUUU